rnacentral:lncRNA from 1 species
UGAUUAUGAUGUUUGGGCAAACCGCAAUGAGAGAAGACUUAAUGAGCCUCUUUUGGCGGUGAGGGACUGUUUCGAAAUUAACCUUUAAUUUUGUUGUGUAUCCGUAAUGAUAUGGUUGAUGUGUUGUCCCAUAUGGGCCUAAAUUGAUUUAAUGAUAUUGAUGCUGACUUGCAAAUAUAAUAAUAGGCGAUUAUACCUACAAUUUGCG